GCGGAUGUUGUGUACGGUGCACACCUGCCCCAAAUUCAUGAGUUGGUUGGGUGAAGCAGCUUGACGGGGUUCGAAUCCCCGCGUCCGCA